AAAAAUCACAUUUAGAGCCCUUUUUCACUCCCACCCCUUUGGAGACGGCCCGCACUCUGUCUAUGGAGUGUGUACCUGCUUUUACUUUAACCUGAGCACCCGGUUCCAGCACCUCUUUCCUUGCCUUUCUCUUGUCUUAUACUCUGUGCAGUAUGUAUCCCUCUAAAUAAAUCUACCUUUACUCAACUGUGGCUUGCAUUUAAAUUCUUUCCUGCAUGAAGCCAAGGACCCACACCUGGUGGAGUACAUCCCAGGGGCUCAAUUGAGACCUGGGACACAACCCUCCUCAUGCCCCAUAUCUGUGUUCCUGCAUCACUAGGACUAAGCUUAGCCUUUCUGACCCCAAAGUCCGUAGAUGUAAUCACUUGGUAAUACCGUCAGUGCAGAUA